rnacentral:rRNA from 1 species
GGAAUGCGUGGUGUAGCGGUGAAAUGCAUAGAUAUCACGCAGAACUCCGAUUGCGAAGGCAGCUUACUAAACCAUAACUGACACUGAAGCACGAAAGCGUGGGGAUCAAACAGGAUUAGAUACCCUGGUAGUCCACGCAGUAAACGAUGAUCACUAGCUGUUUGCGAUACACUGUAAGCGGCACAGCGAAAGCGUUAAGUGAUCCACCUGGGGAGUACGCCGGCAACGGUGAAACUCAAAGGAAUUGACGGGGGCCCGCACAAGCGGAGGAACAUGUGGUUUAAUUCGAUGAUACGCGAGGAACCUUACCCGGGUUUGAACGCAUUCGGACCGAGGUGGAAACACCUUUUCUAGCAAUAGCCGUUUGCGAGGUGCUGCAUGGUUGUCGUCAGCUCGUGCCGUGAGGUGUCGGCUUAAGUGCCAUAACGAGCGCAACCCUUGCCACUAGUUACUAACAGGUGAUGCUGAGGACUCUGGUGGGACUGCCAGCGUAAGCUGCGAGGAAGGCGGGGAUGACGUCAAAUCAGCACGGCCCUUACAUCCGGGGCGACACACGUGUUACAAUGGCGUGGACAAAGGGAGGCCACCUGGCGACAGGGAGCGAAUCCCCAAACCACGUCUCAGUUCGGAUCGGAGUCUGCAACCCGACUCCGUGAAGCUGGAUUCGCUAGUAAUCGCGCAUCAGCCAUGGCGCGGUGAAUACGUUCCCGGGCCUUGUACACACCGCCCGUCAAGCCAUGGGAGCCGGGGGUACCUGAAGUCCGUAACCGCGAGGAUCGGCCUAGGGUAAAACUGGUGACUGGGGCUAAGUCGUAACAAGGUAGCCGUACCGGAAGGUGCGGCUG